UACGGAGGGUGCAAGCGUUGUCCGGAUUUAUUGGGCUUAAAGGGUGCGUAGGCGGCCCGUUAAGUCAGUGGUGAAAUAUCUCAGCUUAACUGAGAAGGUGCCAAUGAUACUGAUGGGCUUGAGUACAGAUGAGGUAGGCGGAAUUGACGGUGUAGCGGUGAAAUGCUUAGAUAUCGUCAAGAACACCUAUAGCGAAGGCAGCUUACUAGGCUGUAACUGACGCUGAGGCACGAAAGUGUGGGGAUCAAACAGG
rnacentral:rRNA from 1 species